GGCUGCAGCGUGAUCGCCUGCUCA
rnacentral:ncRNA from 2 species